AAUCUGCGAUAAGCGCCGGUAAGGUGAUAUGAACCGUUAUAACCGGCGAUACCCGAAUGGGGAAACCCAGUGUGAUUCGUCACACUAUCAUUAACUGAAUCCAUAGGUUAAUGAGGCGAACCGGGGGAACUGAAACAUCUAAGUACCCCGAGGAAAAGAAAUCAACCGAGAUUCCCCCAGUAGCGGCGAGCGAACGGGGAGGAGCCCAGAGCCUGAAUCAGCAUGUGUGUUAGUGGAAGCGUCUGGAAAGGCGCGCGAUACAGGGUGACAGCCCCGUACACAAAAGCGCAUGUGCUGUGAGCUCGAUGAGUAGGGCGGGACACGUGGUAUCCUGUCUGAAUAUGGGGGGACCAUCCUCCAAGGCUAAAUACUCCUGACUGACCGAUAGUGAACCAGUACCGUGAGGGAAAGGCGAAAAGAACCCCGGCGAGGGGAGUGAAAAAGAACCUGAAACCGU
rnacentral:rRNA from 2 species